rnacentral:rRNA from 1 species
CACCGGCUAACUCCGUGCCAGCAGCCGCGGUAAUACGGAGGGUGCGAGCGUUGUCCGGAUUUAUUGGGUUUAAAGGGUGCGUAGGUGGGUUCUUAAGUCUGGUUUGAAAGUCGGCGGCUUAACCGUUGGAUGUGGCUGGAAACUGGGGAUCUUGAAUGCGAUAGCGGUAGCUGGAAUGGGUCAUGUAGCGGUGAAAUGCAUAGAUAUGACCCGGAACUCCGAUUGCGAAGGCAGGCUACUGGGUCGUGAUUGACACUGAGGCACGAGAGCAGGGGUAGCGAACAGGAUUAGAUACCCUGGUAGUCCCUGCCGUAAACGAUGAUGACUGACUGUUUGGCCUUUGGGCUGAGUGGUUCAGCGAAAGCGUUAAGUCAUCCACCUGGGGAGUACGCCGGCAACGGUGAAACU